CGCGGCCUAUCAGCUUGUUGGUGGGGUAAUGGCCUACCAAGGCGACGACGGGUAGCCGGCCUGAGAGGGUGAUCGGCCACACUGGGACUGAGACACGGCCCAGACUCCUACGGGAGGCAGCAGUGGGGAAUAUUGCACAAUGGGCGGAAGCCUGAUGCAGCGACGCCGCGUGGGGGAUGACGGUCUUCGGAUUGUAAACUCCUUUCAGUAGGGACGAAGCGAGAGUGACGGUACCUGCAGAAGAAGCACCGGCCAACUACGUGCCAGCAGCCGCGGUAAUACGUAGGGUGCGAGCGUUGUCCGGAAUUACUGGGCGUAAAGAGCUCGUAGGCGGUUUGUCACGUCGUCUGUGAAAUCCUCCAGCUCAACUAGGGGCGUGCAGGCGAUACGGGCUGACUUGAGUACUACAGGGGAGACUGGAAUUCCUGGUGUAGCGGUGAAAUGCGCAGAUAUCAGGAGGAACACCGGUGGCGAAGGCGGGUCUCUGGGUAGUAACUGACGCUGAGGAGCGAAAGCAUGGGAAGCAAACAGGAUUAGAUACCCUGGUAGUCCAUGCCGUAAACGGUGGGCGCUAGGUGUGGGGUCCUUCCACGGAUUCCGUGCCGUAGCUAACGCAUUAAGCGCCCCGCCUGGGGAGUACGG
rnacentral:rRNA from 1 species